rnacentral:rRNA from 1 species
CGAUGAUCCGGUGCUUGCACCGGGGAUUAGUGGCGAACGGGUGAGUAACACGUGAGUAACCUGCCCUUGACUCUGGGAUAAGCCUGGGAAACCGGGUCUAAUACCGGAUACGACCUUUCACCGCAUGGUGGUUGGUGGAAAGAUUUUUUGGUUUUGGAUGGACUCGCGGCCUAUCAGCUUGUUGGUGAGGUAAUGGCUCACCAAGGCGACGACGGGUAGCCGGCCUGAGAGGGUGACCGGCCACACUGGGACUGAGACACGGCCCAGACUCCUACGGGAGGCAGCAGUGGGGAAUAUUGCACAAUGGGCGAAAGCCUGAUGCAGCGACGCCGCGUGAGGGAUGACGGCCUUCGGGUUGUAAACCUCUUUCAGCAGGGAAGAAGCGAAAGUGACGGUACCUGCAGAAGAAGCGCCGGCUAACUACGUGCCAGCAGCCGCGGUAAUACGUAGGGCGCAAGCGUUGUCCGGAAUUAUUGGGCGUAAAGAGCUCGUAGGCGGUUUGUCGCGUCUGCUGUGAAAGCCCGGGGCUCAACCCCGGGUCUGCAGUGGGUACGGGCAGACUAGAGUGCAGUAGGGGAGACUGGAAUUCCUGGUGUAGCGGUGAAAUGCGCAGAUAUCAGGAGGAACACCGAUGGCGAAGGCAGGUCUCUGGGCUGUAACUGACGCUGAGGAGCGAAAGCAUGGGGAGCGAACAGGAUUAGAUACCCUGGUAGUCCAUGCCGUAAACGUUGGGCACUAGGUGUGGGGGACAUUCCACGUUUUCCGCGCCGUAGCUAACGCAUUAAGUGCCCCGCCUGGGGAGUACGGCCGCAAGGCUAAAACUCAAAGGAAUUGACGGGGGCCCGCACAAGCGGCGGAGCAUGCGGAUUAAUUCGAUGCAACGCGAAGAACCUUACCAAGGCUUGACAUGGACCGGACCGCCGCAGAAAUGCGGUUUCCCUUCGGGGCUGGUUUACAGGUGGUGCAUGGUUGUCGUCAGCUCGUGUCGUGAGAUGUUGGGUUAAGUCCCGCAACGAGCGCAACCCUCGAUCUAUGUUGCCAGGCC